rnacentral:snoRNA from 1 species
UGCCUUUGUGUUGCCCUUUCAUGAUGUCUCUACAUGAACAGGGUGUCGAUUAAGGCAUUACAGUGACUCUUGCAGUUGUGAUAGAAAUAAAUCUUCAUUGAUCUGUUUCUGCACAAAACGACUGCAAGCACACAA